rnacentral:piRNA from 1 species
UGGAUCGUUUGUUGUUCCUUAAGGCUG